AUUCCAAAUGAUACCAGUGACCAUGUAUACAGGAGUAACUCUGUCUGCUUAAGCAUGUAAACGGGUUAUUCCUAAUGAUUCAGAAACCGGAAUAUUGACCUUAACCCGAAUAAUACACAGGAUGUAAAUGUAGUCAGUCUGUUUGCAAGAUUUGAAUAGACAUGUGUGUCACCAGAUUUGAACAAUGGA